UCCACCCACUCCAACUUCUCAGGCUAAGGAUUCCAGCUCUCAUGGGUUUCUGCAGCCUGAGAAAGCAAUCUUGAACUCAAAAAAAAGGAAAACUACACUUGCUUCCUGUUUCCUGGGGUCAGAGGUAGAAGAGUUUGGCUAUCAGGAUAUGAGGUGCCUGCAGGUGCCAGAAGGGGGCGCCGUAUCCCCUGGAGCUGAAAGUAUAGGCCGUGAACUGUCUGACUUUGAAGAACUGAGCUGGGGUCCCCUGCAGGAGCAGGAAGACAUUAACUGCCGAGUUCUCUCUCCAGCCUGCAGCAGCGCUGCAGUGUUACUCUCAUUGUUUUUAUUUUUCUGGUGAAGGAAGAGCUGCAAGUAUUGGUUUAAAGUUAAGAAGUUGUUGGGGCACUGUCUCUUGCCUUCUUUCCCGCUCUGAUGAAGCCAGGUGCCAUGUUGUACAUCUUUUACAGAACAGUUCCCGUGGCUAAGAAGACAUCAGGCUCAUAGCACUUGAGGUACAGUGUCACACAACAGAGAGAAAUGCUCAUUUCUUGUGGAGAAAAAAUACUUUGGUCUGAAUAUGGUGAUGCCUCUUUUGUAGGAUAAAUGAAGGAGAACCAUGUUCUCAGUAGGAUGUGGGGGUAUAAAGGUGUCUUAUGAUGGAUGUUCCAGCUGGGCCAACCUGGAGUCUUCUUUUUAGUUGGGUUAAGAAAAAAAAAUGACUCUAAGGAAGAAACUUAUCUGUCCUCAAGAUACAACUUAAAGCUGCUCUUACAGGAGCCGCAGAGAGGCUGUUUUUUGCUGUUCUCGCAAAGGUUCUGAGUUUAGGUUCCAGAACAUAAGUGGGCCGCUCACAAUCCUCUGUAACUCUUGUGUUAGGGGAUCCAAUGUCUUCUGCUGGCCUUCAUGAGCAAGUGCGUGUGCACAACUCACAAGCUGACACAUACAUACACGUGUAGUUAAAAAUAAAAACAAAAUCUUAAAAAG